rnacentral:lncRNA from 1 species
GAACGCGUCUUUCCUCGCCUCCUAUCUUGUUCUUUUCAUGGACGGCGGAUCUUGUCUGAGGCAUGGACUCCCAAUCCAUUGGCCGGUCGGGGUAUGGAUUUGAGGUGCGUUUUCCACCUGUUCCUCGUUUAACAUUUGUUGGGGAAGGUUGCGUCGGCGAGAAAGAGGGGUUCUUGACGGACGAGCAGAGUGGGCUGAUGAGGGGAGACCCCGGACUUCUUUGCCGCUUCCGGAAACCAAUGGUAAGGUUAGGGCUUGAUGGUUGCCUUGUAGAACCUCUCGUUUGCCAUAAUCGUAUCUUUUCUUCUCUUUGGCGAUUAACACUCAACGAUUUCUAGGAAUCCUUUGCGACAUUUGCUUGAUCUUUAUCCCGUACUUAUCUGGUCAUUGAAAAGAUGAAUUGAAUGUCCAAUUUCUAGGGUUUGUGUUUCAAAUGGCAUACUAUAAUAGAUGAAUAAAAUGAUAACUUGUGUAGGGUUUAUUUAUUAAUAUAAGUCACUGCACAUGAUAUAAUUCCUUUAGCAUUGUUUGUACAGUCUCUUGUAGUGCCUUAGAACCAUGGGAUCAUCAUCCUUUGCAUUUUUGUGCUCUUCUUAAGAACUACAAUCGAGAAGAUUUCACAGUAACUAGCUGAAGGCUCCUUCAAGAUAGUUUUGACUUCAUUUAGGACUCCAUUUAAUUCCAUUUUAUCAUUUAUAUAUUCAAAGACAGAUACUAGAAGGAUGAAAGAAUUAGCAUUAGUGACAUUAGGAGAGAGAGAGAGAGAGAUACCUAAGAAUACUGUAUUAGAAUCUAAGGAUAUGAUUUUGAUUCAAUGAGUCAUUAGAAUUAGUAUACUGCACUAUAAUUGUGCUGAAUUCAAUUUCUUUUGAAAAUCUAACUAAUUUGCUUUUGGAUAUGCAUCGUGUACUUUUAUGUUACUAAAUGCAAAGGCUAGCAUUGGUUGAUGAUAUGAACCUCACCAUGCAUCAACAGAUGUACCCAGCAUUUUUGUAUUUACAUAUAGGACUUCCAAUUGGAUGCUUUGGUCCAUCAACAGAAGAAGCACCUGUUCUUUCGAGCAGUUAAACUUGUUCUAAGCGUUCUUUUUCUAUGUCAAUCUUUCAUCAACAUGACCAGCCAACCAUACAUCUCUUCUUGUUAUGUGUUCUCCAUGCUUUCCUAUUAUUGUCUCCUAUAAAAUUAAUCUAUUUAGUUGGAUCCACAUUGUACAGUACUUGUUGCUCUUUAUAUGUUUGGCAUUGUUCUUGAUUAGAUCUGAUUGGCUAGUUACCUACAUCAAGGAUCCCUUCUAUCUCAUAAAUUAUACUUUCAUGUAGUAUUUUGUUAAGUACUUACUAUGAAAGUUUGCAUAUUAGUUUUAACUCUAGAAAGCAUUUAAAAUUCAACCCAUUAUUUGCUGUCUAUUCUGUUUUCUUUAUUUAAAUAUUAUCCUUUUCAGUAAUUUCAGAUGAAACUUAAUCUCAUUUGUAUAGUGUGCCAUGCCAAUGCUAUGUUCCCUGUUCCCUUGGAAGAAACCAAGAAAAACUUGAUAAUUAAGAGUUUUGGUACUGAAUUUAUUUGCCUUUAACUUCAGAUGUGUUCAACUGCCAUGGAUGAAAACCAUUUGAGAUCCUCUCUAAGAGAGAAGACCUAUGAUUGUUUUUGCAUGCAUCGAGUUCGACCUAAGCCCUUCCAGUUAAUAUUCUAUCGUAAAAAUAUGUAUUUCUUGUUUUGUUACUUUACGAGAGCAAAUGCUAUAGAUAGGGAUGGCAGCAGCAUUGUCUUUACAGCUACUGAAGUAUCUCCAACCAUUUAAAUUGGUUUCAGUACUCUUUAAUUUGGUUUGAGACAGACAAAUUGAGUAGAAAAGUAGGUACCUGAUUCAGGUUUGAAUCGAGGUACUAUGUAGUUAGACAUAUUUGGUUUCUGGCUGAUAGAGACAAAAUUGUUCAUCCCACGUAAUCUUGACAUGUGGAAUUCGAUGCAAGAUGACUACAAAAUAUCAGAACGAUCAUGUUAGCACCUAUCGUAACGAAAGAUAUUUUUUAGAUCAAAAAUGAUUUAGAGAAUAUUUCCUUGAUCCUAAGUGCUUUAGGACUCUUGUCCUCUUGGAGUAGUAGGGUUAGACCCUAUCUCAUUCUCUCUCGAUCUUCUCUCCUUCUCUAUUACCAUUGGAGGGGUCACAUUCGUCGGGAUGGAUUAGCGGCUUGUCGAGGCUCAGUUUAUCCUCUCGGAAUUUUCACAACACUAGUAGAAGAAAAUUCACGAGUAUCCUACUUGUCAUCAUUCAGAUGUUGUACGAGCCACUUAAACCGGGGUUAGAUAGAAAAACAGGUACUUUAGUCGGGUUUAGAUUAGGGUUUAGACCCAAUGUGGUUGGUCAGGGUUCAGAUAUUGGUGAAACAUAUGGGCAUGGAACCAAGUUGCUAUCCCUACCAAUAAAGUCAUGUCUUUUAAUUGCCCAGCAGCAUGUGGAGAACGUGAGGCUACUAUGUACCACAUUGUUAGUCAUCAAAUCUUUGUAAGUUCAUUACUAAUGAGAAGGAAUUCUAGCCAUCUUUGGUCCUCUAAAGACUUUCAUGAUAGUAUGCACAAGAUCACGUGAUCAUGUGUAAACAAAAUUGUAGCUACAAUAUACGACUGGUAGUCUCCAUAGAGAGAGGUCUUCCCCAUCUCCAAAUCUAGGGAGGCAAGAACACCCAAGGAACUGGGGGCAGGAAAGGCAAGGCACGGCGCUAACCCCAUUCAUUCAUUCCCCUUCCGUUGGGCAGGCAAAAGACUAGAGGAGGAGGAGCAGCAGCUGAGAGGGGGGAAUGAGGCAAAAGUGGAAGCCAUGGGGCAGAGGCAGAGCAAUCCUCGGGACCCCACUCGCAUCCUUCCAAACUCCCAAGCACUGCAAUGUGCGAUGUGCGAUGUGCAAUGUGAUGCAUGAUGGGAGACGGCCUCAGCAGUGACAACCCCCUGUUUCGAUGACAAAAGCAGGUCCCCUGAAAGAGGAGAAAGCAAGCAAAAGGUGGCACUGCCUCCCUGCUUGCUUCUUGUCAAACGGCACAAGCUAGUUAAGCACCAUGAAAAGGGGAUGGAGAUGGCGAUUGCGAUGGCGACGGUGAUGGUGAUAGCGAUGGCGAUGGGGUCUCUCUCUCUCUCUCACUCUCUCUUCACAAAGUCCACCCCACCACCUCAGUACACUUGGAUGGAAUGUUUCCUGCUGCAUUUUAGCUUGCCAUUGAUGUGUACAAAUAAUACUUGGUGGUGGGAAAUUAAACUCGCAAUUUUGAGGUGAAGAUUAAUCAUCAAAAUUCGCAUAAUUCCCGUUGAGAACAAUGUGCGACGGAGAAUCUCUCUCUCCGAGAAAGUAUUAUGUUCC